rnacentral:tRNA from 1 species
GCCCUCAUAGCUCAAUGGAUAGAGCAAUCCCGUCCUAAGGGAAAGAUCUGGGUUCGAUUCCUGGUGGGGGCA